UACAGAGGGUGCAAGCGUUAUCCGGAUUCACUGGGUUUAAAGGGUGCGUAGGAGGGUAGGUAAGUCAGUGGUGAAAUCUCCGGGCUCAACUCGGAAACUGCCGUUGAUACUAUCUGUCUUGAAUGCCGUGGAGGUGAGCGGAAUAUGUCAUGUAGCGGUGAAAUGCUUAGAUAUGACAUAGAACACCAAUUGCGAAGGCAGCUCACUACACGAACAUUGACUCUGAGGCACGAAAGCGUGGGGAUCAAACAGG
rnacentral:rRNA from 1 species